AUACCUAUCAAGGUCUUACUGUGUGUGGGGUUGUGAUGAGGCUGCGAUGAACAAAGAGUAAUGUCCCUGUCUGCAUGGCCCCUUAUAUUCUGUGCAAUUACUGAAACAUCAUCUCCAUCUUUUGGGGAGUGGUCUUCAGAUGGCCUCCAGUGAAUGAUUCCUCCUGGUAUUAAUGUUCUGUGCAGUGGCUCCGUUACUGAAUUUUGGCUUACCUUUGACCUACAUAAAAUGGGCAGAAGUAACCAUACCAGUUUAGGUCCUAAGCCUUAAGAAAGACCAACGCCUUUUAUCUUUGUGCUCUUGGAAGCUAGCUACCCUGUAAGAAGUUUGGCUAUGCUGCUGGCAAGGAAAGACCCUGGGGGAUGAGAUGCCCUGUGGAGGAGAGCCAAGACGUCACCUCUGUGACUGCAGAAGCCCUCUUGGAUGUCCUGCCCAUGGAGGACUGCUGUCCAGAGUACUCCAGCCCCAGCUACUCACUGACUGCAACUGCAAGAGAGAUUACAAACAAAACAAACAGAAGAACCACCCAUCUGUGCCCAGUCAGCACAGAGAAUCAUAAGAGAUGAGUAAACUUUUUGUAAGCUACAAAAUUUGAGUGAUUUGUUAUACAGUAAUAAUUAACUUGGAACAAAGCAUUUGAAAAUAUUUCCAAAAAUAAAACCGGUAUAACUUGUGCUGAGGAUGGAAGGAAUAGAGCCUUUGUUUAUCCUGGCACUAUUAAUACUGUUCUGGAUUUAAUUUACAUUAGCUACCACAUCAUUGGAUUGAAUGUGUAGCCAACUAUAAAUUCCUGGCAUUUGUCACAGGAUGGGUAUUUGGCAACUUCUCUCCAAUGUCUUUCUAAGUGGUAUUAUGGACCUAAAUAAAGGACUUCUUCCCCACCCCUCCUGCUACCCUACGCCUUGGUAAUUUUCAUCUUGUCUGUUGUGAUUCAUCAUUCCAGCUUGAUGAGAUUUUUAGAAAAAAAUUUAGUUCUGUCCUCGAAUAAUUAUCCCUUGUGUCCUUGGCAAUUUGACAAACAUAUUCAUAUUUUAUCAAAAUCAUUGAUAAAAAUCAAUGAAUAGCUUGUUCCCGUUAUGGCUCAGUGGUUAAUGAAUCCAACUAGGAACAAUGAGGUUGUGAGUUCAAUCCCUGGCCUCCCUCAGUGGGUUAAGGAUCCGGCGUUGCUGUGAGCUGUGGUGUAGGUCACCUAUGUGGCUCGGAUCUGGCAUUGCUGUGGCUCUGGCAUAGGCUGGCUUGGAUCUGGCAUUGCUGUGGCUCUGGCAUAGGCUGGCUUGGAUCUGGCAUUGCUGUGGCUCUGGCAUAGGCCUGUGGCUACAGCUCCGAUGGGACUCCUAGCCUGGGAACCUCCAUAUACCACGGGUGCGGCCCUAGAAAAGACAAAAAAAAAAAAAAAAAAAAAAA
rnacentral:lncRNA from 1 species